rnacentral:rRNA from 1 species
ACCCUGGUAGUCCACGCCGUAAACGAUGAGUGCUAGAUAUCGGAAGAUUCUCUUUCGGUUUCGCAGCUAACGCAUUAAGCACUCCGCCUGGGGAGUACGGUCGCAAGAUUAAAACUCAAAGGAAUUGACGGGGGCUCGCACAAGCGGUGGAGCAUGCGGUUUAAUUCGAUGUUACGCGAAAAACCUUACCAACCCUUGACAUGGUGGUCGCGGAUCGCAGAGAUGCUUUUCUUCAGCUCGGCUGGAUCACACACAGGUGUUGCAUGGCUGUCGUCAGCUCGUGUCGUGAGAUGUUGGGUUAAGUCCCGCAACGAGCGCAACCCUCAUUCUUAUUUGCCAGCGGGUAAUGCCGGGAACUAUAAGAAAACUGCCGGUGAUAAGCCGGAGGAAGGUGGGGACGACGUCAAGUCAUCAUGGCCCUUACGGGUUGGGCUACACGCGUGCUACAAUGGUGUUUACAGAGGGAAGCAAGACGGCGACGUGGAGCAAAUCCCUAAAAGACAUCUCAGUUCGGAUUGUUCUCUGCAACUCGAGAGCAUGAAGUUGGAAUCGCUAGUAAUCGCGGAUCAGCAUGCCGCGGUGAAUACGUUCUCGGGCCUUGUACACACUGCCCGUCACGCCAUGGGAGUUGGUUUUACCUGAAGGUGGUGAGC